AAGCUAGCCAUCUAGCAGAGAAGACGCCAACUCUUCCUGUGGGCUCUGAUCUCUUCCCUGGACUAGCAAGGAAGCGUGGCCAUGGGCGACUACUUUCUGAAUCCUCGACACAGACAUACUAAUAAAUAAACAAACACGCACCAGUUGGGUCUGGUUUGUUUUCCAAACGGGGAGCAGCAAGUGACCUGGUUAAUCCAAGGUUUCAGACAGCAGGGGUUGAGAAAUCAGGCGUGAACAAGGCUGUACCAAGAUGUCUUGGCUGUGAGCGUGGAGCACACCAAGGGAGGACCAGCGAUACCACAGAAAAGCCAGCAGGUGACGGCAGGCACUAAAAGGAGCUCGAUGAAUAACAAAGAGGGUGCCGGCAGCCAAAGCCUUUUUAAGAUGCUAAUUAAGCAAGAAA
ensembl:lncRNA